UGGGGAAUAUUGCACAAUGGGCGCAAGCCUGAUGCAGCCAUGCCGCGUGUAUGAAGAAGGUCUUCGGGUUGUAAAGUACUUUCAGCGGGGAGGAAGGGAGUAAAGUUAAUACCUUUGCUCAUUGACGUUACCCGCAGAAAAAGCACCGGCUAACUCCGUGCCAGCAGCCGCGGUAGUACGGAGGGUGCAAGCGUUAAUCGGAAUUACUGGGCGUAAAGCGCACGCAGGCGGUUGAUUGAGUCAGAUGUGAAAUCCCCGGGCUUAACCCGGGAAUUGCAUCUGAUACUGGUCAGCUAGAGUCUUGUAGAGGGGGGUAGAAUUCCAUGUGUAGCGGUGAAAUGCGUAGAGAUGUGGAGGAAUACCGGUGGCGAAGGCGGCCCCCUGGACAAAGACUGACGCUCAGGUGCGAAAGCGUGGGGAGCAAACAGG
rnacentral:rRNA from 1 species